rnacentral:lncRNA from 1 species
CGUAUUGAAAAAUGCUCAUCUCCACAGAGGGAAUUGAUGAACUGCAACUUUGCAAUGAAGAAACUCCAUUCACCCAACCAAGGCAGGUCAAACAAAGCUCCUGCUCUUUCAGCCUUAGGGAGUUGCCUGCAGCCUGGAGAAGCUAAGCAACUUGUCCAUGAUCAUCCAGACAAUCCAUAUCAGAGAUGUCACUUGAACCCAGAUCCUUCUAACUCAGCAGCUAGCUCCCUCUCCAGGAUACUACACAGCCACUCAAAUGCUAGCAAUAUACAACCAUUUACUCAUAAUGUGACCUUGGACUUGUCUCUCUGGGUCUCAGUUUCCUCCUCUAUAAAAAGAAGGGGUUGCACUUGCUAG